rnacentral:lncRNA from 1 species
UCCCUGCGAUGUAGGCCCUAUCCUUCUCAGACUGACACCUAGCAACAUAGGCCUAUAAUAGAAAAUCUAUUUUCAUUUUUAUUGCCAUGGAUACAUAUUUGGUGAACAUAUAUUUGCAUGCUAACAAUACAUUUAGACUGAACACAUCACUAGGCAUUGCCCGAUCUGAAUGCCAAUAUUUUUAUUUAUUUCCUGCGCAUU